rnacentral:rRNA from 1 species
AAAUUACGCCUUCCAUGAAGCCGGAAUUGCUAGUAAUGGCAGGUCAGCAUACUGCCGUGAAUACGUUCCCGGGCCUUGUACACACCGCCCGUCACACCAUGAGAGUUGGGAAUACCCGAAGCCUGUGAGCUAACUAAUAGAGGCAGCAGUCGAAGGUAGAAUCAAUGAUUGGGGUGAAGUCGUAACAAGGUAUC